UCUCGCUGGCGUCGGUGAAUGUGUGCAG
rnacentral:sRNA from 1 species